rnacentral:rRNA from 1 species
ACUGGUUGAUCCUGCCAGUAGUCAUAUGCUUGUCUCAAAGAUUAAGCCAUGCAUGUCUCAGUACAUGCCGAAUUAAGGUGAAACCGCGAAUGGCUCAUUAAAUCAGUUAUGGUUCAUUAGAUCGUGGACACAUUUACUUGGAUAACUGUGGUAAUUCUAGAGCUAAUACAUGCAAACAGAAUUCCUCUCAGAGAUGGGAGGAAUGCUUUUAUUAGAUCAAAACCAAUCGGUGGCGGACGGCUCGUCCGUUCGUCCAUCGUUUGUUUUGGUGACUCUGAAUAACUUUGUGCUGAUCGCAUGGUCAUCUAGCACCGGCGACGCAUCUUUCAAAUGUCUGCCUUAUCAACUGUCGAUGGUAGGUUCUGCGCCUACCAUGGUUGUAACGGGUAACGGGGAAUCAGGGUUCGAUUCCGGAGAGGGAGCCUGAGAAACNGCUACCACAUCCAAGGAAGGCAGCAGGCGCGCAAAUUACCCACUCCAGGCACGGUGGAGGUCGCUAGAUGGUCGAAAAAUAACGAUACGGGACUCAUCCGAGGCCCCGUAAUCGGAAUGAGUACACUUUAAAUCCUUUAACGAGGACCAAUUGGAGGGCAAGUCUGGUGCCAGCAGCCGCGGUAAUUCCAGCUCCAAUAGCGUAUAUUAAAGUUGUUGCGGUUAAAAAGCUCGUAGUUGAAUCUGUGUGUCACAGUGUCGGUUCACCGCUCGCGGUGUUUAACUGGCAUUAUGUGGUACGUCCUAUCGGUGGGCUUAGCUCCUUGCGGGCGGUCCAACUAAUAUCCCAUCGCGGUGCUCUUCACUGAGUGUCGAGGUGGGCCGAUACGUUUACUUUGAAAAAAUUAGAGUGCUUAAAGCAGGCUACCUUUGCCUGAAUACUGUGUGCAUGGAAUAAUGGAAUAGGACCUCGGUUCUAUUUUGUUGGUUUUCGGAACCCCGAGGUAAUGAUUAAUAGGGACAGAUGGGGGCAUUCGUAUUGCGACGUUAGAGGUGAAAUUCUUGGAUCGUCGCAAGACGGACAGAAGCGAAAGCAUUUGCCAAAAAUGUUUUCAUUAAUCAAGAACGAAAGUUAGAGGUUCGAAGGCGAUCAGAUACCGCCCUAGUUCUAACCAUAAACGAUGCCAGCCAGCGAUCCGCCGAAGUUCCUCCGAUGACUCGGCGGGCAGCUUCCGGGAAACCAAAGCUUUUGGGUUCCGGGGGAAGUAUGGUUGCAAAGCUGAAACUUAAAGGAAUUGACGGA